AGCUUUGUGCAGUGGCAGUAUCGUAGCCAAUGAGGUUUAUCCGAGGCGCGAUUAUUGCAAAGAAUGCUAGUAUUUUAAGCCCGUUUCCACGGUUAGUUUUAGUAGUGAAAGUAGUAAAAUUCAGCGCUUCUAGGAUGAGA
rfam:Tupaia chinensis contig112864, whole genome shotgun sequence.